GGAGGGAUACUCAAGUGGCUGAAGAGGGCAGUUUGCUAAACUGUUAGUAGGGGCAACUCUAGCAUGGGUUCGAAUCCCAUUCCUUCCGCCA
rnacentral:tRNA from 1 species